rnacentral:rRNA from 1 species
GACGUAGGGCGCGAGCGUUGUCCGGAUUUAUUGGGCGUAAAGAGCUCGUAGGCGGCUUGUCGCGUCGAAUGUGAAAUCUCGGGGCUCAACUUCGAGCUUGCAUUCGAUACGGGCAGGCUAGAGUUCGGUAGGGGAGACUGGAAUUCCUGGUGUAGCGGUGAAAUGCGCAGAUAUCAGGAGGAACACCGGUGGCGAAGGCGGAUCUCUGGGCCUUACCUGACGCUGAGGCGCGAAAGCUAGGGGAGCGAACAGG